AAAACGACUCUCGGCAACGGAUAUCUCGGCUCUCGCAUCGAUGAAGAACGUAGCGAAAUGCGAUACUUGGUGUGAAUUGCAGAAUCCCGUGAACCAUCGAGUCUUUGAACGCAAGUUGCGCCCCCAAGCCAUUAGGCCGAGGGCACGUCUGCCUGGGUGUCACGC
rnacentral:rRNA from 1 species